rnacentral:rRNA from 1 species
UGCCAGCAGCCGCGGUAAGACGGAGGGUGCAAACGUUGUUCGGAAUCACUGGGCAUAAAGAGCACGUAGGCGGUCUACUAAGUCAGGUGUGAAAGCCCCCGGCUCAACCGGGGAACUGCAUUUGAUACUGGUAGACUUGAGGACGGUUGGGGUGAGUGGAACUCCAGGUGGAGCGGUGAAAUGCGUAGAUAUCUGGAGGAACACCGGUGGCGAAAGCGACUCACUGGACCGUAUCUGACGCUGAGGUGCGAAAGCUAGGGUAGCAAACGGGAUUAGAUA